AGGGUGUCGAAACGUUGGGUCGUGAAAGUUAAUCUUUGUGUGGUGAUUACUUUAAUUUAUUAAAACCAGAGUAGUGAUAAUUACAAUGGAGUAAGUAUUUAUUACUGCAAAGCUUUUGGUCCAUUAACGUAGGCCUUUAUUAGUGUAAUUUCCUGAAAACAAGGUUAUUGCAAGGUGAAAAGGCUAAACAAGUAAACAAGGUAAAAACAAAUGUUAUCCUUAUUGGUAAACAAGGUAAUUGGUUGUUUUCAGGUAUUGCUCUGAUGAAGGCCCGGGUUAAUGGACCAAAAGCUUUGCCGUAAUAAAUACUUAGGUGGUAAGCUAAUUUACUUAUUUGAUGUCACCAUGCAAACAUAUAAGAAUAUUUAAUUAACCUUAAAAUAGUUGUGUUGCAUGAAUGUAGCAUGUGUGAAUUCAUGGAGGCUGGUUGUGGUAUACAUUUUAAUCACCAUGCAUUAUUUCUAACAGGACACAAUCAUUCUACCUGGUAUUCCAAUAUUUUGGAGAAAUGGGAAAAAUUAGUAACAACCUAGGUUGCUCUCUUUUAUAGGGUAAAAAGACUAGCCUGGUCCUGUUGUAUUUUAGUAAAGACAGACUACAGUACAGAUAUUUUAGAGUGUUUCAAUAGUUCUUCACCCAAAUUAUCAAUUGAAAGAUAAGAACCAUCAUAAAGCAAAAUCUAACAAAAUGGAUUUAUCUUGCCAGUCAUGCAAGGUGGCUUUUCUUACCUCAGGUCAGACACGCGGUCAUAAAUUCAGCUUAGUUGGUGGUGUCGAGCUUUUUGGUCUUGUCGGGUAUCAUCAAGGCAUCAUCGUCAUCAGAUUAGCCGAAACCUACCGUUUCGUACCCCGCGUAUAGAAAGUUAGUAAUGUUUCUGUCGAUUGUCAAAGUUGACAUUGAAUUACUCUGCCACGUGGAGACGGAAAAUCAUUUUGGAAGAUUUGAAUGUUUAUUCUUACAACCUUCAGAUCUACAUAUUUACAAUACAUAUUUAUCUGAUUUGUUGUCUUUAUUGCAUGGCUGUGCAUAUUUCCUGAAUUUGUAUGCUGGGCGUGGUUAUUUAAUAUUGUACAAUGUACAAUAUUCUUAUAUAGCGCAUAAUAAUAUUGCAUUUUUACAUCCUUUUGAUAUUAUUAACAAAUUUAUUUUUAAUAAUGUUCUUGUACGUUUGCAU